rnacentral:rRNA from 1 species
AUUGAACGCUGGCGGCAGGCUUAACACAUGCAAGUCGAGCGGAGCGAGGGUGCUUGCACCUUAGCUUAGCGGCGGACGGGUGAGUAAUGCUUAGGAAUCUGCCUAUUAGUGGGGGACAACAUUCCGAAAGGAAUGCUAAUACCGCAUACGCCCUACGGGGGAAAGCAGGGGAUCUUCGGACCUUGCGCUAAUAGAUGAGCCUAAGUCGGAUUAGCUAGUUGGUGGGGUAAAGGCCUACCAAGGCGACGAUCUGUACCGGGUCUGAGAGGAUGAUCCGCCACACUGGGACUGAGACACGGCCCAGACUCCUGCGGGAGGCAGCAGUGGGGAAUAUUGGACAAUGGGCGGAAGCCUGAUCCAGCCAUGCCGCGUGUGUGAAGAAGGCCUUUUGGUUGUAAAGCACUUUAAGCGAGGAGGAGGCUCUUAAGGUUAAUACCCUUGAUGAGUGGACGUUACUCGCAGAAUAAGCACCGGCUAACUCUGUGCCAGCCGCCGCCGUAAAAC